AAAAAUUAAAAAAAUUCGAUUUUCUAAACAAAACAACGCAAUGUCCGUUAACCCGUCUGCCGACAUGGAUUCAUUUCGAAAACUUUUACUUAAAGUCAAUGCCGUUGUCAUACUGACGGGUGCAGGAGUGUCUGCCGAGUCCGGGGUCCCGACUUUUCGCGGGGCAGGAGGGUUAUGGAGGAUAUAUUCGGCGACAGAUUUAGCCACCCCGUCUGCUUUUCGAUCCAAUCCCUCUCUUGUUUGGGAGUUUUAUCACCACCGUAGAGAAAACGUUGCAUCGAAGCAUCCAAAUAAUGCACAUAAAGCAAUAGCUGAAUUUGAACACAGACUAACUAAACAAGGCAAACAUGUAAGUGUCAUUACCCAAAAUAUUGAUGAGCUUCACCAAAGGGCUGGAUCUGUAAACAUAUUGGAGCUACAUGGAAGCUUGUUCAAGACUCGGUGCUUAAAGUGUAAAAAGGUGGAAUCAAAUUACGACAGUCCCAUAUGUGAAGCUCUCAAAGGAAAAGGAUCAGCAUCUCCAACUGAAGGUGGAGAAAAUAUUCCUGAAUUAUUACUCCCAAGAUGCAAAGUUUCAUCUUGUGGAGGCCUCCUAAGGCCAUAUGUUGUUUGGUUUCAUGAAAAUUUGGAUCCCAUUAUUCUGAAAAAAGCAGAGAAGGAUCUUAAUAGUUGUGACCUGUGUUUGGUUGUUGGGACAUCAUCUAUAGUCUAUCCUGCUGCAAUGUUUGCUCCCCAGGUUGCUGCUAGAGGGGUCCCAGUUGCAGAGUUUAAUAUGGAAACUACUUCUGCCACUCCUAAUUUUGAAUUCCAUUUUUCUGGUCCAUGUGGAGAACUUUUGCCGAUAGCUCUGGCACCGUGACGAGUUAGUUAUGGACAAGAACGGUGCAGUUCCUAUCCACAGCCCUAUAGUGUGAAAAAAUAGACAGUGGAAAAAAUCUGCUCAUCAUGCUGAUCUGCACAAUGCUGGCUUCAUCUUUGGACUUUCUUUAGAUGACUCUUGUAUUGUAAAUAUUUUCCUGCUUCUUGGAUUAUGGAACAUAGGAUGUCUUGAUGCCAACCAAGUGUCAUGGGAAGAUCGUGGAAAGAUGUUUAAGCAGGAAAAACCUAAAGCUGAAAGAUGAUUCAUUUGUUUCUCGUUACUAGUUUUGUAAACAAAAGGUUAUUGAUCACAGAGUCAGAGAACUAUGCGUGGAAUCUGAUAUUCUAGCCCUGGUUUCAACAAGGCUAUGAAGCAAUUAUAAUUUCAGGAGGUAAAGACUGAAACCAAAAAUAAAGCACAGACAUUUUUUA
rnacentral:misc_RNA from 1 species